CUACAUAAUGCCAAGUUUGGCUACGUAGUCAAAGUUGAUACACUAGUCGUGGUAAACUGAGGCAUAUUUGACUACAAAAGUUUGGCUACAGGAACAUAUAAAUUCUACCAUGUUAGUGUAGUCGAAUUUCAAGUACACGAGCGGCGAAAGUUUUUUUCAAUGGGGGUUUUAAACAAAUAAUUCUUUAUAGGUUAUUUAUAGGUUAUGUUUGUUACUGUAACUACAUGUAUGCUACUUUAAUGACAUCAGUAAUUACAUACGCCUCCAGUUUUAUACAAACUCGCCUUUUUCAAGACUCAUAUAGCUUGGAUCUACGAUCUUAUAAGAAGCCCUAAAUCAUGAAUUUGGAGAGAAAACUUGUUCACAAUGAACCUCGUAAUAUAAUUCGUAAAUUAGUCGAAUUAUUUGAUCGAUAAAAAGAAGCAGAUCGUUGGGAGUUUUAAACCUCGACUAUACGGAUGGAAGGGAAACUCCUCACAAGCAAUUGUUGGUUUUCGAUACAAAAAGUGUUAUGAAAAACGCAGGUUGUUAAUGGAAAGAAGUGGCAUCGUAACAUGGUGUUCUCGUUAUUUAACACUAAAAGAAAACGAACACCUGAAUGUGACAAAAGACCCGUUAUAUACUUGGACGAAACCUAUAUUCACCCAUCGUACGGAGGCUGGUCAGAGGUACAUCGUAGUAUGCUAGUAGUCGUUCUGGUUUUGUACAGGAUGUCGCACAGUAAAUCGGGGGAUUAUCACGACGAUAUGAAUCCUACCAACUUUAUGCAGUGGUUAGAGAAGCAGCUUAUACAAAAUUUACCAGCAAACUCAGUUGUGGUUAUGGAUAACGCACCUUACCGUAGUGUUCAAAUAAAUAAGCCGCCAACGAUGAAUAAUCGUAAGGAAGUGAUACGUUCUUGGUUAAGAAGCAAAUAACAUUCCUACGACAGAUCAAUUUAUUGACAAUGUACAUUGUACAAUUCGUUGUGUGUUAAUUUAGUCAAUGUGAGCGUUAUUAAUUUCAAUGUGAUUGUAAUAAUUUGAAAUAAAAUUAAUAAUUUUACUGUUUCCUCUUCCUCUUGAUGUUAUGCAACUCAUAUAGCACGGGCGUUAUGGCGUACUUGUUUAUAUCAAUUUUGCAUGAGAAUGUACAGUCUAAAUUUCUAGCCCCCUCGGGCUCGCCCUGUAAGGGACUUUCUGAACGUGGUGCCACUGUAGAUACUCAAUAAAAUUUGCAAAAAAAUUUUAGUCAUUUGGUGUAAAAUCUCCCAAUGGAUAGUCAUAUUUGAGUCCAUAACUUUUAUGCCCAAGGAAAUCGAUAGCAAACCGCCAAGUCAUUCCAGUAUAUUUGGUACCUACUUGACGAAUCAUGAACCGAGGCUCAUUAGUGAUAUUUAUGAAGGGUUAUACAGAAUGUAGUAGGUUGUACAUCAAUAAUUUAUUCUAAAUAACCUUUUUCGUUCCCCAUUCCCAUUUGAAGCGCUUUAGGUGAACAAAGGCAAC